rnacentral:rRNA from 1 species
UACGGGGGGAGCAAGCGUUGUUCGGAUUUACUGGGCGUAAAGGGCGCGUAGGCGGUCGUGACAAGUCACUUGUGAAAUCUCCGGGCUUAACUCGGAACGGUCAAGUGAUACUGUCGGACUAGAGUACAGAAGGGGCAACUGGAAUUCUCGGUGUAGCGGUGAAAUGCGUAGAGAUCGGGAAGAACACCGAUGGCGAAGGCAGCCCCCUGGGCCAAUACUGACGCUCAUGCACCGAAAGCGUGGGGAGCAAACAGG